ACUUCUAAACCUUUGACGAUUGACUCAUGUUGCCUCGGCGGGUUCUCCCGCCAGAGGAUACGUCAAAACUCCUGUUUUAACGGUGUUGUCUGAGCUACAAGCAACGAAUCAAAACUUUCAACAACGGAUCUCUUGGUUCUGGCAUCGAUGAAGAACGCAGCGAAAUGCGAUAAGUAGUGUGAAUUGCAGAAUUCAGUGAAUCAUCGAAUCUUUGAACGCACAUUGCGCCCCUUGGUAUCCCGAGGGGCAUGCCUGUUCGAGCGUCAUUUCACCACUCAAGCCUGGCUUGGUGUUGGGCGACGUCCCCUUUGGGGACGCGCCUCGAAACGCUCGGCGGCGUGGCACCGGCUUUAAGCGUAGCAGAAUCUUUCGCUUUGAAAGUCGGGGCCCCGUCUGCCGGAAGACCUACUCGCAAGGUUGACCUCGGAUCAGGCAGGGAUACCCGCUGAACUUAAGCAUAUCAAUAAGCGGAGGAAAAGAAACCAACAGGGAUUGCCUCAGUAACGGCGAGUGAAGCGGCAACAGCUCAAAUUUGAAAUCUGGCUCUUUUAGGGUCCGAGUUGUAAUUUGUAGAGGAUGCUUCGGCGUCGGCUCCGGUCUAAGUUCCUUGGAACAGGACGUCAUAGAGGGUGAGAAUCCCGUAUGUGAUCGGUUGCCCUUGC
rnacentral:rRNA from 1 species